GCGGAACAGGGCGGAGCUGCAGCCGCCUCAGAGGCUUGUGUAAUCCAGAAGUUCAAAAGUCAAGGCUGCCUCAUCCCGGCCUGGUGGGUAUUGCAUGGCUGAACAUCUGGGAAUGCUGUUCUAUGCUGUCUCGUGAGUCAGAGGAUGAGAAGAUGGGCCCCAGGUGUCUUGCAGUCCACUGCACCUUAAAGAUUGCUGACACUAAUCCACCUAGCACCGUGCUGUCAAGUCGGAUGACUCCAGGGAAGCUGCUGAUGUAAAGCAUAAACAGCCCAAGGGAGAUAACUGUGCUUAGUGAUAAAAAUGCACAGUUUUCCUAGAAUUAUAAUUUAU
rnacentral:lncRNA from 1 species